CCUACGGGUGGCAGCAGUCGAGAAUUUUUCUCAAUGGGGGAAACCCUGAAGGAGCGACGCCGCGUGGAGGAUGAAGGUCUUCGGAUUGUAAACUCCUGUCAUUAGGGAACUAGUACCUGAAGAGGAAGAGACGGCUAACUCUGUGCCAGCAGCCGCGGUAAUACAGAGGUCUCAAGCGUUGUUCGGAUUCAUUGGGCGUAAAGGGUGCGUAGGCGGCGAGGCAAGUCAGGUGUGAAAUCUCGGAGCUCAACUCCGAAACUGCACUUGAUACUGCCUUGCUAGAGUACUGGAGAGGAGAUUGGAAUUUACGGUGUAGCAGUGAAAUGCGUAGAUAUCGUAAGGAAGACCAGUGGCGAAGGCGAAUCUCUGGACAGUACUGACGCUGAGGCACGAAGGCCAGGGGAGCAAACGGGAUUAGAUACCCUAGUAGUC
rnacentral:rRNA from 1 species